AAUCUAUGGUGAGGAAACCUUCUCAAUAGAUCUUUGUAUCUCUCCCAUGCAUCAUAAAGUGUUUCUCAAUCCAUCUGCACAAAAAAAGAGAUAUCAUUCCGUAAUUU
rfam:Gossypium arboreum cultivar AKA8401 contig_48754_1, whole genome shotgun sequence.